ACUGAUUGUCACAACACAGUGGAAGCUACUACUGUACCUGUAAGGCAGGAUAUUUCCACCCAUGCAAACAACGUAACUUCACAGACGGCAGAGGCUGCAAAGAUGUGGACGAAUGCGAGCAUGGGCACCAGUGCAGCGCCAACAUGAUCUGUCGCAACACCUUUGGGAGUCACCUCUGUGUCUGUGGAGCGGGAUAUCACCCAGGGCCGGGACAAACAUGCCAGACCU